AGCAGCGCUCCGGCUAGCUCCGGCACAAAUUAAGCACUGAUAGUACAAAUGCCAUGCAAACAUGUGAGCAACAAACAGUCCUGCCUCUGGUUUCAUGCUGUUCUGGUGACUGACAGGUGGUGGCGGUUUGCACAAAAAUGUGUUGCAAUGCACCUGCAAAGCCAAAAGUGAAGAACUGCAAGCUAAAAAAUCAUUGCUGUAAUCAUUUUUGAGGAAGUAAAUACACUCAACCAACUGAGUUAGAUCUGAACACUGAAUGUAAAUAAAAACUAAACACCUUUAUUUUGUUUAACCCAGUCUUCUUCUCAAGUCACUUACACAUACAGCAUCUCACAAUAGUAAGAACGCCCCUCACAUUUCAAAAAAUAUUUGAUUAUAUUUAUGUGAUAGGGAAGGCAACAGGGGUUUAGCACUAGGACCCAGGUAAAGGGGCAGAGUCUAUAAAUAGGGAAGGGAAGAUCACCUGGUCCUUUCUUUCUGCAGUCACACACCUGAGGGAGCAGCUGAGGCCAGCCUUUGUUUGGUUCUUGAUUGGACUUCGUGGUGGUGAGGGUCUAAAGCUUGGAGUGAUUGUCUAAACACAUCAGCUAAAGCACAGAUCCCAGUCACCUGCAUGCCUUCAACGGCGGGAGGGGAAUGUGUUUCUAAGAAAAGCAAGAUGCUGGGUGUGGCAAGGGCUGGUGUGCCCAGUGAGAGCGAAGGUGUUGGCAGUUGACCAGUUCCAUGUUCUGACCACCAAGAAGAAACUGUCCUGUUUCUUGGGCAUGGUGGGUUACUAUCGUGGGUUCUGCAACUUCUCCACAGUUGCAGCUCUACUCACUACUCUUCUUUGCCCAAAGGUUAAGUUUGACUGCUCUCUCUCCUGUCAAGAGGCCUUUGAGUCUGUCAAGUCUUUGUUCUUCCCCUGUUCUGGCAGCCCCACAGUUGGACCCCUCGUUCUCCCUGUAUGUGGAUGCUAGUAAGGUGGGAGCUGGUGCUGUACUCAUGCAGGCUAAUGAAAAUGGUGUGGACGGUUUCUUUUCUAAAAAGUUCAACUUGCAUCAGUUGAAAUUAUUAUUAAUCAUUGAAAAGGAAGCACUGGCACUCAUUUGGGUAUUGCAACGCUUGAGGUUUAUGUGGUUGGUGGGGUAAGUCUUUUAGUAGUUUACAUUGAUCAUAAUCCUCUAACUUUUCUCCACUCACUCCAAAACCCAAAUCAACAGCUUAUGCGAUGGUGUCUUUUCCUUCAGCCAUUUCAUUUAGACAUACAACAUGUAAAGGGUGCCGAGAACACAGUGGCUGAUGCCAUGACUCGAGCAGUGUCUGUGUAAGAUAACUUGUGUUUUUCCUCCCUGCAGUGUUUUGUUAGUUCUGGUGCUCUCUUCCCUCUUAAAUGCUUCUUAGGUACCAAGUUUGCUGAGGGUUGUGGCUUCAUGGCUCAAGACAUGGCACUGUCUGCAGGUUGUAAGGACAUUCACAUGUUAACCAUAAUGUAUCAGUGUAUUUGAUUAAGAUUAUUCAUUCUAAUAAUUCUGUUUGGAUAUUGGGGAUUAUUUGGGAAGCUCUGGCUGAAUUUUGGGGAUCCUACCUAGGACCCCAACCUUAAGGGUGGGGUGUGACGACUUCCCCCAGUCUUCCUGCCCGUGUGUGUCGUCUGUUUUGCAGAUGCUGGGUGUGGCUUGUAGGUGGAGCUGGGAGGGUCCAAUGCAUGUACCUGCCCCUCUGUGUUGGGCUUCCUAGAGGGCAUAAAAGGGCUGCCUUUCUGGGAAACGGUCUCUCUGUUGGCCUGGUGCUUCAACCCCAGCCUUUGUUUAAUUUGCUGCUCCCACCAACAUGCAUUACACUUCAUUCUCACUCAUCCACACACUUCUGACAUAUCAGAAGUAUAUCUACUUACUCCAUUGACUUAGUUGAGUUGUUUGUUGGUUUGAGUUAAAUAAACCACUUUUGUUCCUA